UUCCGGUUGAUCCUGCCGGACCCAACUGCUAUUUGGGUGAGACUAAACCAUGCGAGUUGAAUGGGAUACCUAAAUUUCCCAUAGCAAACUGCUCAAUAACACAUGAUCAACUUGCCCUAUAGAGAAAAAUAACCUCGGGAAACUGAGGAUAAUGUUUCAUAGUUGGAAAGGCUUGGAAAAGUUUUUCAAUGAAAAGAGUAAGGAAAAUGGUUCUUACUUGCUAUAGGAUAGGAUUGUGUUCGAUUAUGGUUGUUGGUGAGGUAACGGCUCACCAAGCCGAUAAUCGAUAGGGGCCGUGAGAGCGGGAGCCCCGAGAUGGGUACUGAGACAGCGACCCAGGCCUUACGAGGCGCAGCAGGUGCGGAACCUCCGCAAUACACGAAAGUGUGACGGGGUUACCCAAAGUGUUCUUAUUGAACUGUGGUAAGUGAGUAAUGUUCCCUACUGGAAAGGAGAGGGCAAGGCUGGUGCCAGCCGCCGCGGUAAAACCUGAUCUUCAAGUGGUUGGGAUGAUUAUUGGGCUUCAGUGUCCGUAGCCGGUUUAGUAAGUUCCUGGUAAAAUCGGGUAGCUUAACUAUCCGUAUGCUAGGAAUACUGCUAUACUAGAGGGCGGGAGAGGUCUGAGGUA
rnacentral:rRNA from 1 species